rnacentral:rRNA from 1 species
GACGAACGCUGGCGGCGUGCUUAACACAUGCAAGUCGAACGGAAAGGCCCUGCUUUUGUGGGGUGCUCGAGUGGCGAACGGGUGAGUAACACGUGAGUAACCUGCCCUUGACUUUGGGAUAACUUCAGGAAACUGGGGCUAAUACCCGAUAGGAGCUCCUGCAGCAUGGUGGGGGUUGGAAAGUUUCGGCGGUUGGGGAUGGUCUCGCGGCUUAUCAGCUUGUUGGUGGGGUAGUGGCUUACCAAGGCUUUGACGGGUAGCCGGCCUGGGAGGGGGACCGGGGACAUGGGGACUGAGGGAGGGAGCAGACGGGUACGGGAGGCAGCGGUGGGGAAUAUGGCACAAUGGGCGGAAGCCUGAUGCAGCGACGCCGCGUGCGGGAUGACGGCCUUCGGGGUGUAAACAGCUUUCGCCUGUGACGAAGAGUGAGUGACGGUAAUGGGUAAAGAAGCACCGGCUAACUACGUG